GAAAACUGAAUCAUUAUUUCCCCUUAGAAGUAAUGUAAAUUGAUUUAAUCCAUUCCAGACUCCCAAAUGACCCCCUCUUUCAACCUUUCUUAUAUACAGUAACUGUCUAAUGCACUGUUUAAUCUAUAAAUAAACAUUUU